UUGCUUUCUCUCUCUCUCUAAAACUCCUCAGCCAAACACUUCCCAACACCCCAAAUUCCCAUUUCAUUUCCAUUCUCUCUCUCUAGAAAUCUCUCCAUCAUGGCGGCGCAGAAGAGAGAGAAAGAAGAAACCGAGCUGAAGGUGCCGGAAUCCAUCCCUCUAUGCUCUCCAACUCUACCGGUACCUUCACCAUCGCCUCCUUCUACGACGACGCACCUCUCAGUUGCUGUUAUCUCAGAUCUGAAGCGUUCUGAUAGAUCGUCGACGGAGAGUAUAGAUCUGAAGGUUUCUAGUAUGGAUGAUCAAUCGAGAUCUACAUCAGCUGCAUCGCCGGAAAGUAUGGAUCUGGUUGGUAGAAAAACAGGGGUUAAGAGGCAAAGAGAAGCGAACCGAUGUUCUGGUAUGGGUUGCCGGAGGAAAGUCGGAUUGAUGCCGUUCCGGUGCCGGUGUGGGGAAGUGUUCUGCUCGGAGCAUAGGUACUCCGAUCGACAUGACUGUAGUUACGAUUACAAAGCAGCUGGUCGUGAAGCGAUUGCUAAGGAAAAUCCAGUGGUGAAAGCUGCAAAAAUUCUCAAAGUUUAAAAUUGGAAAUCUGAAGUUUUUUUUUUUUGUUUUUUUUGGGUAUUUUCAAAGUUGUUGAAGCAGUCAAGGGUGGGUGGGAAAUGAAUGGUGGAGGUGUUGUGUUGUAAAUUUGACGAAUGGAUGAGGGUAUUGUUGUCAUUUUUAAGUUAUUAAAAUUAUUAAAAUAAGUUAGUGGACAUCCUUUUUUUUUUUUUGCUUUUAACUUUGUGCUGCGUUGUACUUG
rnacentral:misc_RNA from 1 species